GAUGAACGCUGGCGGCGUGCCUAAUACAUGCAAGUCGAGCGAACAGACGAGGAGCUUGCUCCUCUGACGUUAGCGGCGGACGGGUGAGUAACACGUGGAUAACCUACCUAUAAGACUGGGAUAACUUCGGGAAACCGGAGCUAAUACCGGAUAAUAUCUUGAACCGCAUGGUUCAAUAGUGAAAGACGGUUUUGCUGUCACUUAUAGAUGGAUCCGCGCCGCAUUAGCUAGUUGGUAAGGUAACGGCUUACCAAGGCAACGAUGCGUAGCCGACCUGAGAGGGUGAUCGGCCACACUGGAACUGAGACACGGUCCAGACUACUACGGGAGGCAGCAGUAGGGAAUCUUCCGCAAUGGGCGAAAGCCUGACGGAGCAACGCCGCGUGAGUGAUGAAGGUCUUCGGAUCGUAAAACUCUGUUAUUAGGGAAGAACAAAUGUGGAAGUAACUAUGCACGUCUUGACGGUACCUAAUCAGAAAGCCACGGCUAACUACGUG
rnacentral:rRNA from 1 species